ensembl:lncRNA
CUCAUUUCUACAUUCAUUCCACAGAUGUUUGUUCCAGGCACUGUCUCUGGUGCUGAGGAUGAAACGACAAAUGAAUCAGACACGGUCUCUCUCCUUAUGGAACUGACAGUCUAGUGAGGGAGACAGAAAGUAAAGCGGACUACUGUACAUGUAAUUAGCUCAUUAUAAAGCUGAAUAGAGAGUAAUAAGGAGAAUCUGACCCAUAGGAGGAGCUGGAUAAUCAUCGUCGGGUGUUGAAUGAAUGAGUCAAUGAAUGACUCAACCUCGUGUGGGGGGGCCUCUUUGAAGAAGUGAGAGUUUGGCUGAGGUCUGAGUCGCGAGUGGGAGUCAGCCAGGUUUGUGUACUGCCUGCCUGGUCUGAAGAAGAGUUAAAUAAUCCCAGUGUUAGAAAGGACUUUGAACUGGUUCAUCUCUCCACCAGUCUGGUGUCUCGGAUUUGACCCUGCGUUGCCCACUCCUGCUGGAUCUUGUCCAGUCGAGGGACAAAACGUCCUGACACCCUCCUGAAGAAUGGGAAGAAAGGAGAUUCUGGAAGCACAGAUUGCAAUACCAUGCUAGAGGCCGAGGAGACCGACGCGAAGGGAUUGCUCCCACACCAACAGGAGCCCUGAGGACGACUGGAGCUGGAGGCACGCAGGCCCAAGAAGGGUGGAAAUGCCAGCAGUGACCAAGAGCCACCCACAGCGGUUCCCGAGCAGUCUGUCCAGGAUCCACCGAAUGGAGGGCACACGGCAGGUCUCUCUCACUUGGCAACUGCAACUUUGCAACCUGGAACAAAGGCCAGAAAAGCCCAAGAAGGAGCACAAGUCCAAGAGCUUUCAGAGUAACCUUGAGAAAAUUGUCUACUGAAUGGUGACCCGUUCUGCCACUGGAUAUUGGGAGAAGAGACGUUCCCUCGCACGUUGGAUCCCAUCAUACCUGGAUGCCAUUCCUCACAGACUUUGAAGAUUUUAUAUCCACCUUUAAGCAUGCUCUUCCUGUUUCAGCUCUAGGAGUUCUGGUUAACAUUCUCUAUGAGAAAAUGUUCACUUUUUCUCCCUUCGAGUUCUGGAUUAAACUGUCUUACCUGGAGCUGGGUCAGUUGAGGCUAGAGGCACCUCCACACAGUCCUGUUUCUCAGAAGUUGCCAGGUUCAUGUCAUACUUGUUUCAUUUGCGAACAGGGGUCCUCCUCUGACAGAUGCUAUCUGGCCUGGUCAGUGUGGCUCCUGGUCUGCUCUUUGGUGCCUUUCUCUCCUCCCCGUCCCAGGUGAGACUCACCCAGCGGUGACCCUGCGUCUCCUGGUGAGGACCACAUUUGCGGUGGAUGUGCUUUGGCUGGAUGUGUGAGAGAAAGCGUGGUCUGAUGGAACCAACAUCUUUGUAAAUUUGGAGGUGACUGGAGCACGGCUGCAUCCCGGGGAAAGGGAGCUUUAGGGGAGGCCAGUCCUUACCUCAGUGUUCCACCUGGCUCCACCCUCGUAACGCUUACUCUCAUCUUUUUAGUGUCUGUUCUGAUUUAGGGUAGUUAUUCUUUUCUUUAUUCGAUUAAAAGUAACUUUGGUUGUUAUUUUUUAUUUUUGCAAAUCACAUGCUUAUUACAAAAACAGCAAAAAUAUAGUCAGGUAAAAGAGGAAAAAACAA